rnacentral:rRNA from 1 species
CAACCUGCCGUCUACUCUUGGACAGCCUUCUGAAAGGAAGAUUAAUACAAGAUGGCAUCAUGAGUCCGCAUGUUCACAUGAUUAAAGGUAUUCCGGUAGACGAUGGGGAUGUGUUCCAUUAGAUAGUAGGCGGGGUAACGGCCCACCUAGUCUUCGAUGGAUAGGGGUUCUGAGAGGAAGGUCCCCCACAUUGGAACUGAGACACGGUCCAAACUCCUACGGGAGGCAGCAGUGAGGAAUAUUGGUCAAUGGGCGAGAGCCUGAACCAGCCAAGUAGCGUGAAGGAUGACUGCCCUAUGGGUUGUAAACUUCUUUUAUAAAGGAAUAAAGUCGGGUAUGGAUACCCGUUUGCAUGUACUUUAUGAAUAAGGAUCGGCUAACUCCGUGCCAGCAGCCGCGGUAAUACGGAGGAUCCGAGCGUUAUCCGGAUUUAUUGGGUUUAAAGGGAGCGUAGUUGGAUGUUUAAGUCAGUUGUGAAAGUUUGCGGCUCAACCGUAAAAUUGCAGUUGAUACUGGAUAUCUUGAGUGCAGUUGAGGCAGGCGGAAUUCGUGGUGUAGCGGUGAAAUGCUUAGAUAUCACGAAGAACUCCGAUUG